rnacentral:antisense_RNA from 3 species
CUUGAGGGAGCCGAGCCACAGCGGCUCGUCGCCGGAACGUUCCUGCCCGUACGUGGCCAGCAGUGCCUGCGCCUC